CAGCUCCCUCGCCGGGCGGGUGGCGGCGCCCCGGCUGCCGGCCGGCGAGGUCCGGAUCGGCGGCUUCGGGGGGCCGGAGGGGCUGGC
rnacentral:tRNA from 1 species